AUUGAACGCUGGCGGCGUGCCUAACACAUGCAAGUCGAGCGGUAACAGGUGUAGCAAUACAUGCUGACGAGCGGCGGACGGGUGAGUAACGCUUGGGAAUCUGCCUGUUAGGUGGGGGACGAACCCGGGGAACUCGGGCUAAUACCGCAUACGCACUACGGUGGAAAGGCCGGGGACCGCAAGGCCUGGCGCUAACAGAUGAGCCCAAGUCGGAUUAGCUAGUUGGAGGGUAACGGCCUACCAAGGCGACGAUCCGUAACUGGUCUGAGAGGACGACCAGUCACACCGGAACUGAGACACGGUCCGGACUCC
rnacentral:rRNA from 1 species